rnacentral:tRNA from 1 species
UAUAGGUGAAAGUCCUUUAUGUCUCU